UUUUAUUUUUAAAGAUAUUUAAAAUACAUUUUGAUGUAGUUAAUCUUAUAUAAAAAGUUAAAUUUUCAAUAAUAGAAGUGUUAAACUUGAAACGUCUAGACUUUUUAGCUCACCAAAUGAUGAACUAUGUAAAUUAAGACAUAAUAAUAAUAAUAUAUGCAGAGUAUUAAAGAUAAAGUUUCCUUAUUAUAGUAUUUUCUUUAUCGAUCAAUUAGUUAAAAUUUCAAUAAUAUACUUGUAAUAAUUUUUUAUUAAUGACUUCUAUUAGAAAGAAAACAGGGAAC
rnacentral:lncRNA from 1 species